UAUGGAUACACUCUCUACAAGUUCCCAUUACCUCUUUUUUUUCAGUUGUCCCUUUUUAAUAAUAGGAACUUUCUACAUCUUGUAAAAAUAUGUGGUCAUGUUAACAUGCCUAAUCUGAUUGUUUCCUUAAAAUGUGUUGGGUUUUUUUCCCAUAGAAAACAUUAAGGCACACACUAAACAGUAUCUUUGUUCAUCUACAAAAUUUUAAAAUUAUUUGGCAGUAAUUGCUCUGAGUUCUAUCUUCCUCCCCCAAUAGGCAAAACUUCCUAUUUGAGAAUUUAAACCGGUCCCUGCAUCUCACUGGAAAGCCUAGUGACUCUCAGCGUGGAAAUGGGCGGGAUUCGCUCACUGGCUCUACUCCAGCCUGGGUUUCCAA
rnacentral:lncRNA from 1 species